CGGCGUGGAUUAGGCAUGCAAGUCGAACGCGAAAGUUCCCUUCGGGGAGCGAGUAGAGUGGCGAAAGGGUGAGUAAUGCUUGGAUGACCUGCCCUCGAGACGGGGACAACAGUUCGAAAGGACUGCUAAUACCCGAUAGUCCGGUUUAGAUGCGUCUAGAUCGGUAAAUGGUGCUUCCGCUCGAGGAGGGGUUCAAGUCCUAUCAGCUUGUUGGUGAGGUAACGGCUCACCAAGGCGAUGACGGGUAGCCGGACUGAGAGGUUGGCCGGCCACAUGGGAACUGAGACACUGUCCUGACUCCUACGGGAGGCUGCAGUCGAGAAUCUUCUGCAAUGGGCGAAAGCCUGACAGAGCGACGCCGCGUGGAGGAUGAAGGCCCUCGGGUCGUAAACUCCUGUCACAUGUUAUGAAACGCACAGGUCUACCUGUGCGCUGACAAAAGCAUGAGAGGAAGUCACGGCUAACUUCGUG
rnacentral:rRNA from 1 species